AUGCUAGUCCCGCCACUGCCGCCCACCCUACCCAGUAGCGGCAGAAUGGCAGCAAAGGCCACACACACUGAAGCACCAUGGCGGGCUAUUCGCCAUGCAGCUCCCGCCAGCACGCUGCGCUGCUUCCGCUGGCAAUCAAAAGGCGGAAAAAGCGCGAAACUGCCAGGCGCCUCCCAUACCCGCCCAGCAGCGGUGCAACUCCUUCUCGGACUCCACUGGGAGACAAGGCAUGCAGCUGAAUACUUUAGGGGAACCCUCUUCAUAUAUCCUGAGUUCUCUCUCUCUCUCUCUCUCUCUCCAGGUCUCCCACCAGGUUUGUAGCCUGUGAUCUCUUGUCACCUUGGUCUCUCAGCUUUGUCUCCUCAAAUCUGGAAUUCAAACUGGCUUUGCCUUUCUGCCUUUCCUUGCGACACUGGCUUGGAAUCCCUCAAGGUAUUCUGCUAGAGUGGAUUGUAGGACACAUCUCAGUUGUCACUGUCCUUAACUGCAUGAUGUCCAGUUCCUUGCAAACCAGUAUUUCAUGUAUUCUGCUAUUUAUUGUUUUGUUUUGUUUUCAGGCUAGGGGAAAAUCCAGUCCCUGUUACUCCAUUUUGGCCAAAAAUUCAAGGUAAAGACUUUUAAUGUUCCUGACUGCUAGUUCUAUCAUCUCUCUCACUUCUCGAUCUGUCUCCAUUCACUGAUGUUUCUAGUCAUUGUGGGCAUAUUUUUUCCACGUUUUAAAUACUUCCUGAUUUUUUUUACUAGAUGUCAAGCUUUGUUAAUUUCACAAUGUUAGGUGCCAAAAAUUUUUACAUUCCUAUAAAUAUUCUUGAACUUUGUUCUAAUACGUUGUUAUUUUACAUGGAAACCAUUUUAUACUUUCAAUGCUUGUAUUUAUUUGUUAGGUGGGACCAGAACAAGGCCUAAUUUUGUCCCACUAUGGAAGCAAUACUUUCUGAGUACUCUCCCUGAUACUUCACGAAUUAUGAAGUUUUCUAGUCAGAUUUUUGAGAACUGAAACUAUUUUCCAUCCUGUAUGAGCCUCAGAAAUUGUUACAUCUGCUCCUUUUCGAUGUUUAUUUUCCUGUUCCUUUUCAACAGUUUCGUUACACUCAUGCAUUCACCAAGCUGACAUCUCAAAGGAUACCCACUGCAGAUCUCUGAUACUGUGUGCUCCUGUUGUUCUCUUCUUCCUCAUACUCUGCCAUAUAAGCUCCAGUCAUCUGGCCUCCCAAAACUCCCACCUUGUCUUCUCAACUCAGGGAAGCUACUAGAUUCUGCCUGUUUCCCCUCCCUGAGAUAUGCCUUGGAAACGCCAUAUAGAAAGCUAGAUAGCCAUAGGGGUUACCUCAUAUGAUUUUCUUCUCAGAUAUCAGAGAUGAGGUCCCACACAGCCUGAUGUCCAGUGUUUGAAAGUGGUUAUUUCAUCGAUCUUGUCUUUUUGGUUUCUAGACAUUUCAGGCGGCAGAAUAAAUUCAAUCCUUGGUUCUCCAUCUUGUCCAGUAGUAGAAGUUAGUUAUAUUGUCUUUGAGCUCAUCAUGAAUUCCGUGAAGACUGAAGAGAACAAGUCAUUUAGUGCUACAGAGGAUGACCAAAGUACUAGACCUGAAGUUUCAAAGGUAUAUCUACUUUUUUACAAUUCCUCACUGGAGAGAGAGUCUAACCGUCGUGCCAAUUGAGGUUUUUGGAGAUAAGUUCUUGAAGAAUGAGAGUUAUAAGCCCUUAUCUUAGGUUGUUUAGAAGAUAUUUGGGGAGCUCAUACACAUAAGUGCUUCUGUAAAGCAAAAUGAUAGGGUAUGAAUUAACAACGCUAAAUAUUUCUUAAGACAACAAGAUGAGUAACAAACAAUGUGGACACUUAAAAUCAUGGAAAGUACAGACAGGCAAAAAUAAUUAGCUAAUGUUUCCUAGGAAUAUAACAAAGAGAAUAUAACAAUUUUAAAUGUAUAUGCACCUCCAACUGGAGCACCCAGAUAUAUAAAGGAAAUACUGUUAAAGCUAAAAAGAGAGAUAGACCCAAAUACAAUAAAAGCUGGAGAUUUCAAGACCCCACUUUCAGCACUGGACAGAUCUUUCAGACAUAAAUCAACAAAGAAACAUCAGACUUAAUCUGCACUAUAGACCAAAUAAAUCUAAUAGAUAUCUACAGAACAUUUUAUCCAAGAGCUUCAAAAUACACAUUCAUAUCCUCAGAACAUUUAUCAUUCUCAAUGAUAGAUCAUAUGUUAGGUCACAAAACAAGUCAAAGUAUUCAAAAUAUUGAAAUAAUAUUGAGAAUCUUCUCUGAUCACAAUGGAUUGAAACUAGAAAUUAAUCAGGGUCGGGCACCGUCGCUCACACCUGUAAUCCCAGCACUUUGGGAGGCUGAUUUGGGCAGAUCAGUUGAGGUCAGGAGUUAGAGAGCAGCCUUGGAAACAUGGUGAGACCCUGUCUCUACUAAAACUACAAAAAAAAUUAGCCAUGCAUGGUAUCACGCACCUGUAAUCCCAGCUACUUGAGAAGCUGAGGCAUGAGCAUCGCUUGAAUCCGGGAGGUGGAGGUUGCAGUAAGCCGAGACCACACCACUGCACUCUAGCCUGAGUGACAGAACAGGACUCCAUCACAAAAAAAUAAAUCAAUCAACAAAUAAAAGAAAUUAAUAACAAGGAAUUUUGUAAACUAUAUACUAUAUAAAUA
rnacentral:lncRNA from 1 species